UGGCGGGAUCCCUCGCGGGUGCA
rnacentral:siRNA from 1 species